CACAGGCCGAGAGAAGGGCUUCGGGGACACGAGGCUGCAGGCUGCAGUGGUUGGGAAAGGCUCGCAGUGUUGUGGCUGCUGGCUGACAGCGACUAGCUUCGAGAAGAGUCCAGUCCAGUAAGGCUUCAGUGUCUCCUCCUUGGGGUCUUUGAUGUACUGCCUAUCUUCCAGCGAGGACCUGUGUGCCAAGCACUUCUUGUGUACAGGACAGGAGUCCAUGUGCUGGCUUGUGGUUACUCUGGUUAGUCGCAUGAACAGAGUCACCGUGGCAAUGCAGGCUUGACCAGGACAAGGUGAUGUUUUAGGGCCAGGCUCUGGGAACACGGCUUGGUGCCAGUGGCCCCUAGAACAACUAAGGCUCACAGCCUAAGUCAGCCUGAUAAGCUGCCCAGUUGAUCCCAGAAGAAUGUCGUCUGGGCUGUGCGAGGCCCAGUUUGACAUUGUCUAGGCUGCUCUGCUCUGUGAUCUUUUACAAUCCCUAGUCUCUGUAGGCUAGAUGCAUACGCUCUGUGAUCUUUUACAAUCCCUAGUCUCUGCAGGCUAGAUGCAUACGUCUGCUGCUGGUUUCCCGUGAAACUGGCUCAGUCUAAGUGAGGACUCUGCUUGGGGCUCUCCUUCAGAGUUUCUUGAAGUUUUGCUUUGUGUCUCCUGGAAACCUUGCCAGAGAGUCCUCUGUCCUUUCUUACCACACCAGACCCUGCCCUGUGUACUGCCAAAACUCCCUUACAGUCUUUUUUGUUCGUUCGUUCGUUUGCUUGUUUGUUUGUUUAAUUUUUGGUUAUUUUUUUUUUAAAGAAAAUCUUCCUGUGAUGUACCCAUUCUCAAUUCUGUAUGGAUGUAGGUGUUUUACUAAUGGUAACAACUUAGCACUUGCUCAAAUACUUAUGGUAGUGGUGGUGUUGUUGAUCUGACUGUAGAGGAGUGAUUACUGCAGGUGGAGUAGACUCUGUGUGUGUGUGAAUAAAAGGAGGUUGGAUUUGAAACAUUCUGCUUUGAUUUAGUAAUAGGUUUAUAAUAAGCUCAUUUUAAUUAAAUUAUGUUUAAACUUUUUUUUUAAAAUGGCACAUCAAGUAUUUUAAUUAGAGCCCAGGCAUUCCCUGCUAUGGGUGCUGGAAAGAGCAGCAUUCAGACUCUGC
rnacentral:lncRNA from 1 species